UUGGUGAGAAUGAUUCAAAGCUUGAGAGCUCAGCGAGUGCUCAGAUUGCCUUGGAGCUUGUCAUUUUUCAUGACAUUGUGUGGUUUGUUUCACUUGAAUCAGAUUCUUUAUUUGCUUGUUCUCCUCCGUUGUGAUUCUACUACGUCAAUGGAGACAUAACUGUAGUCCAACUGCAUUUCCUGUGGGUGCUUCUUCCGCGGAAUAUAAUGCCGUUGCCAUAAAUACAUGUGAAGGAGUUCCUGGACCUGACAUUCACAUUUGGGUUAAAAGCCCCCUUACCAUUGUUGUUGAAUGUUGUUCAAUGUGAAACUCCUAAGCCAGACCUGACAUCUGGUAAGAGUAAUUUGGGGAUUGAAUUGGACCCAAUUGUCAAGCUCAACUCACACGAAGAGCAAUAGUGACGCCCACGUGAAGGAGUAUCGAAGAGCUCUGUAUGAAGCUUUAAGUAACAUUAUCUUUACAGUUUCUUCAGUCCACUGCAAAACAUUUGAGGGGAAUGCACAAGAUUUUGUGCUUGUUUUGGUGAUUGUAUUUGAAUUCAAGUUUUGCUUUCAAGCUAGGAUUGUUGGGGUGUGGGGAUGCUCAUUAGAUUAGAAAGAAAGACUCUUGAUGAUGGCAUGAAGUGAUCGGUUCUUGGUGAUGCUAGGAUUGGCUCAAAACAAUUAUAGUUAAUCAGGGUUUGGAAAUUGGUUUUUGAAGAGGAUCACGUGGAUUAUUUGAUUCUGGUGCUUUGAUUGCUGCAGCAAACAGAUCUCAUGGCGAGCAACUAACCCCAAUAGUUUCGACUGACCGUGCUUUGCCCUAGCUCCUGCACUGCUCUUGGUCACGAUUCGAGGGCCGCUGAAGGGGUGCUUUUAUCUGCGGCCAUGGUAUUCUCCCAAUACCCCCUACUAUGGUCAUUUUGCCAUCUUGUUUGCUCUCAGUGAUUUGCCUGAGGUCGAUUACUCACAAAAAGUUAAGCAAAGUAUGAGUGAUCAUGCCUACACAAGUUUCCUGGUUUGGUUUUCUCGUGAUAAGAGCCACAAGAAAACCUCAGGCAGAAACGUUGUUUGAAUCUUCUUCCAAAAUUUAGAGUUACUUUGCUCACUCCUAUCUCUUAAGGUUUGGUACAUGAUAAUUUCAUCGCCAACUUUUCCUUCCCAAAGCACAAUAUGAUUGUCUUUUUAUGAGGCUAGUAUAUUUGGAGGUAGUCUUGAUAAAAUUUCAUGAUUUGUCUAUUUGUCUGGGAUGGUACUUUAAUUGAAUGUGCAGGGAUUGUUGUCUUCGCUGCGGAGGCUUUACAGAUCGCAGGCCGAUGAAGCGAGGAUCUUGUUUUUGGGCUUGGACAAUGCAGGAAAGACCACCAUUUUAAAACUGUUGGCAGAUGGAGACAUCCAGACAGUGACGCCUACGCAGGAUCAUGUCGCUUCGUCUUUUCCAUAUGUUGACAGGGCUUCCACAUUCAGUCACUAAUCUAUGAAGGUUUCAGGUUAAAUGUGUGGGAUAUAGGCGGUAUGUGCCUUCGUCAUAUGCUAUUGUUUGAGUUUUGAACAACGUCAGCAGACUGCAGUAAUAGUUCCCGGUUUCGGAAUCUGUGUGGAAAGUAUCCAUGUUUUUGGUGCAUCAACCCAACCUCAAUCGUAAUUGAUUAGAAGCAUCUCAUCAUCUUCUUCACAGAACAGUAUUGCACGCACCGUGAUAGUUUUGUUUUGGCAGGUCAAAGGGCAAUCAGACCAUACUGGCGGAAUUACUUCGAAACAACAGAUGCCUUGGUAUAUGUUUUCGACUGUGCUGAUAGGCACCGUCUUAAGGAGAGUGGUACAUGUUCACACUAAUCACCCAGCCUGGUAGCUUCAAGCGUUACAAAUAAACUCAAUCUUUUUCUAAGUACCAUACUGUCUGAGUUUCAAUUACUCUAAAAAAAGAGAUAGCUGGGGAAUGGGUUGAGUGCAGGGGAUGAGUUGAGCCUGCUCCUCGAGGAAGAGAAGAUAAUUGGCGUCCCACUACUCGUUCUGGCCAACAAGCAGGAUCUUCGACAUGCACUUCCAGCUGAUGAGGUAGCAGCUGGCUUGAAUCUCGUG